CAACUUUCAGCAACGGAUCUCUUGGCUCUCGCAUCGAUGAAGAACGCAGCGAAAUGCGAUAAGUAAUGUGAAUUGCAGAAUUCAGUGAAUCAUCGAAUCUUUGAACGCACCUUGCGCCCUUUGGCUAUUCCGAAGGGCAUGCCUGUUUGAGUAUCG
rnacentral:rRNA from 1 species